UGCCGAGGUUUUCCUCGGUAGUUAACUGCAGCUGGUUUUAUUUUUCCUCGGCAGUUAACUGUCGAGGGGUAU
rfam:Medicago truncatula strain A17 chromosome 1, whole genome shotgun sequence.